CCUACGAGGGGCAGCAGUGAGGAAUAUUGGUCAAUGGGCGGAAACCUGAACCAGCCAAGUAGCGUGCAGGAUGACGGCCCUACGGGUUGUAAACUGCUUUUAUACGGGAAUAACGCGCCUUACGUGUAGGGCUUUGCAUGUACCGUAUGAAUAAGGACCGGCUAAUUCCGUGCCAGCAGCCGCGGUAAUACGGAAGGUCCGGGCGUUAUCCGGAUUUAUUGGGUUUAAAGGGAGCGUAGGCCGCAUGUCAAGCGUGCUGUGAAAUGUCCGGGCUCAACCCCGGCCUUGCAGCGCGAACUGGCGUGCUUGAGUCCGCGGAAAGCAGGCGGAAUUCGUCGUGUAGCGGUGAAAUGCUUAGAUAUGGCGAAGAACCCCGAUUGCGAAGGCAGCUUGCUGCAGCGGAACUGACGCUGAUGCUCGAAAGCGCGGGUAUCGAACAGGAUUAGAUACCCGAGUAGUC
rnacentral:rRNA from 1 species